rnacentral:rRNA from 1 species
CCUACGGGAGGCUGCAGUGGGGAAUAUUGCACAAUGGGCGCAAGCCUGAUGCAGCCAUGCCGCGUGUGUGAAGAAGGCCUUCGGGUUGUAAAGCACUUUCAGCGGGGAGGAAGGCGUUAAGGUUAAUAACCUUGUCGAUUGACGUUACCCGCAGAAGAAGCACCGGCUAACUCCGUGCCAGCAGCCGCGGUAAUACGGAGGGUGCAAGCGUUAAUCGGAAUUACUGGGCGUAAAGCGCACGCAGGCGGUCUGUCAAGUCGGAUGUGAAAUCCCCGGGCUCAACCUGGGAACUGCAUUCGAAACUGGCAGGCUAGAGUCUUGUAGAGGGGGGUAGAAUUCCAGGUGUAGCGGUGAAAUGCGUAGAGAUCUGGAGGAAUACCGGUGGCGAAGGCGGCCCCCUGGACAAAGACUGACGCUCAGGUGCGAAAGCGUGGGGAGCAAACAGGAUUAAUACCCUUGUAGUC